GUCCUACGGGACGCAGCAGUGGGGAAUAUUGGACAAUGGGGGGAACCCUGAUCCAGCGACGCCGCGUGAGGGAUGAAGGUUUUCGGAUUGUAAACUCCUUUUGUUAGAGAAGAUAAUGACGGUAUCUAACGAAUAAGCACCGGCUAACUCCGUGCCAGCAGCCGCGGUAAUACGGAGGGUGCAAGCGUUACUCGGAAUCACUGGGCGUAAAGAGCGCGUAGGCGGGAUAGCAAGUCAGAUGUGAAAUCCUAUGGCUUAACCAUAGAACUGCAUUUGAAACUGUUAUUCUAGAGUAUGGGAGAGGU
rnacentral:rRNA from 1 species